UAGGGAAUCUUCCACAAUGGACGCAAGUCUGAUGGAGCAACGCCGCGUGAGUGAAGAAGGUUUUCGGAUCGUAAAGCUCUGUUGUUGGUGAAGAAGGAUAGAGGCAGUAACUGGUCUUUAUUUGACGGUAAUCAACCAGAAAGUCACGGCUAACUACGUGCCAGCAGCCGCGGUAAUACGUAGGUGGCAAGCGUUGUCCGGAUUUAUUGGGCGUAAAGCGAGCGCAGGCGGAAUGAUAAGUCUGAUGUGAAAGCCCACGGCUCAACCGUGGAACUGCAUCGGAAACUGUCAUUCUUGAGUGCAGAAGAGGAGAGUGGAACUCCGUGUGUAGCGGUGGAAUGCGUAGAUAUAUGGAAGAACACCAGUGGCGAAGGCGGCUCUCUGGUCUGCAACUGACGCUGAGGCUCGAAAGCAUGGGUAGCGAACAGGAUUAGAUACCCUGGUAGUCCAUGCCGUAAACGAUGAGCGCUAGGUGUUGGGGACUUUCCGGUCCUCAGUGCCGCAGCAAACGCAUUAAGCGCUCCGCCUGGGGAGUACGACCGCAAGGUUGAAAC
rnacentral:rRNA from 1 species